AGCUAGAGUUGUUCUGCUGUGCACAGCUCCUUCUUCUUCCACAGCGGAGGUGUCAAGUAUUUGAUUCCCAACCAAGGAUCCCCACCCUCCCUUUGCCCAGGCACAUCUCAGGUUCAGCAGCCCACGUGCAGAAGCGAGGCACCAGGACAAAUACCAGUAGCUGGGAUAAAGCCUGCAGGACACAUCCCGCAAUCUGGGAAAGGCCAAAAGCAUCAAUGGAAACACUCUGGCUGGAGAUAAGUGGUAGCUUCAGCUUUUAUGUUGCUCUGAAGAACAGGCACAGGAGGCACAGUGGAGGGAAGGGAGGUUGCUCCUGGCUUUGCUGUUGAACAGUGUGUUGGUUUUCUUGGAACCUGCAUCUGCAUCCAGCACCAUCGAGAAAAGGCAGUGCCUGGAACGUGGGUGCAUCGCGCAGACGGCAGCGGGAGCGCGGCUGUGCCGGGUCCGCAGGACAUCCACACACACCUCGGCUCUGCUGCCAGCUCCCAGCACGGGGGCAGAAUCCCUGGAGCAUCCCCGUACCUCUGUUGCCCUCCCAUCUUCUGUGCGUGAUCACAAGAGCUUUGAAGCAAAGCUUAUUCCAUCGUUACUGCUGGUGAACCAAACUUUGUCAGCAAUGACGAGGGGCACUCAACCUAAAAUAUCUCCAGAUACCUGCAAACAUUUAGGAAACCCCUGAGUUACAGUGUGAGCAAUGAGAAACGAAGAGAGAGUCCAGUGCUCAGCAGGAAGCAUGAGGAGGACCUUGCUUUGGUUGGGUCAUGUGGACAGUCUUCUGGCUGUGACACCCCAAUCUUCAGAAACUGAGAUUACCAAUUCUGGUCCUAUUUAAGACUGGGGAGAAAAUGCAAAAUUCUGAAAUGUUUGCAAGGUUGGAAAACAGCUUUCCACUAAGUUCUCCUCAGAUGAGAUUGCAGAAAUUCUUCUGUUUUCUUCUUCCUGCCUGGCUCUGUUACCAAGCAAUUCUGUUCACACUGUUCUCCAAGACAAAAUCUGAGCCAGACUGAGAUUUGUGUUGAUGGAUCCCUUGGGGUCAAGAUGAAUUUGAACCAAAGCACUGGAAGAAGGAAUAAAUAUAAACAGAACUGAGACAAAAAUGGAGAAAUGUUCUUCACACUUCUAGAAACUCCUGGGUGAAAAAAAAAAUUGUAAUUCAAUCAACAAAGGAAUGUGAAGAAGAGCAAAAGAAUGGUUCCAGAGGUGACUCUUCCCUGUCCAAGAGGCAGCAGGUGGGAAAAAGUGAAACUGCCUGUCCAAAAGCUCAAUAGUUGGCCUGCAGGAUAUUAUCAGCUUCUUCUUAACCAGUCAUGAAGAAGAGCAGGAUUCCUGUAUUACUGGACUGUGAGAACAUUUCCAGAGUGAACAUUUAGACCCAGGUCUUAUGUUGACAUGGAUUUGGUCAAAGCAAUAAGUCAGAGCAUUUUGAAGAAUAUGUAAAUGCACGUUAGAAUUGCAGUCAAAAUGAUAAAUAUCUAAUUUUCAUAGGUCAGGAAACCUGAGCUCUAGCACUUAAUUACCUUCCAAA